GUGGGGAAUAUUCCGCAAUGGACGAAAGUCUGACGGAGCAACGCCGCGUGAGUGAUGAAGGUUUUCGGACUGUAAAGCUCUGUUGUUUAGGACGAAAGUGCCUGUUGCAAAUAGUUACAGGUAUUGACGGUACUGAACGAGGAAGCCACGGCUAACUACGUGCCAGCAGCCGCGGUAAUACGUAGGUUGCAAGCGUUGUCCGGAAUUAUUGGGCGUAAAGAGCAUGUAGGCGGGAAUCUAAGUCUGUUGUGAAAAUGCGGGGCUCAACCCCGUAUUGCAAUGGAAACUGGGUUUCUUGAGUGCAGGAGAGGAAAGGGGAAUUCCCAGUGUAGCGGUGAAAUGCGUAGAUAUUGGGAGGAACACCAGUGGCGAAGGCGCCUUUCUGGACUGUGUCUGACGCUGAGAUGCGAAAGCCAGGGUAGCGAACGGGAUUAGAUACCCCGGUAGUCC
rnacentral:rRNA from 1 species